rnacentral:rRNA from 1 species
UACGAAGGGGGCGAGCGUUGUUCGGAAUUACUGGGCGUAAAGGGCGCGCAGGCGGCCUUAGAAGUCAGAUGUGAAAGCCCCGGGCUCAACCUGGGAAUGGCAUUUGAUACUCUGAGGCUGGAGUACGGGAGAGGAGAGUGGAAUUCCCAGUGUAGAGGUGAAAUUCGUAGAUAUUCGCAAGAACACCAGUGGCGAAGGCGGCUCACUGGCCCGAUACUGACGCUGAGGCACGAAAGCGUGGGGAGCAAAUAGG